rnacentral:rRNA from 1 species
AUGGAGAUGCACCACCAGAGGAAGACGACGAGCGCCGCCGCCAAUACACACGAGAGGCAGGUGGCGAACUGGGGAUCCCCAAAAAGAUGUCCCCACAAGAACGUCGGGGCGACUAUGAUCGUGACCGCUGCAGGGCUGUUGACGAGGAUGCAGACGACGGCUAUCGGCAUGGCGCUCAAGUUGCGUAACCAACGCCAGCGGAUGUACAAAGCCAUUACCGCCAUGUAUUCCGCGGCAAAGAGGCUUGCCACAGAAUUGAAGACGCAUGGGUUGUCUGAACUGAAGGCGCAUGAAGUCUUUAACUCCUCGAAGCGUGCUUUUACGAAAAAAUAUAUUGCCAAAACAGAGGCCAGCGCCAUGUAUAUGUCCUGGAAGAUCCAUGCGUGA